GGAUUGUGGCUCAGUGGUAGAGCACUUGCCUGGCAUGCAUGAGGCCCUGGGUUCAAUCCUCAGCACCA
rnacentral:tRNA from 1 species